CAGGUACAGCGGGAAGCCACCUGGCGACAGGGAGCGGAACCCGAAAGCCUGUCUCAGUUCGGAUUGGAGUCUGCAACCCGACUCCAUGAAGCUGGAUUCGCUAGUAAUCGCGCAUCAGCCAUGGCGCGGUGAAUACGUUCCCGGGCCUUGUACACACCGCCCGUCAAGCCAUGGGAGCCGGGGGUGCCUGAAGUACGUGACCGCGAGGAGCGUCCUAGGGCAAAACUGGUGACUGGGGCUAAGUCGUAACAAGGUAUC
rnacentral:rRNA from 1 species